rnacentral:rRNA from 1 species
GAUGAACGCUAGCGGCAGGCCUAAUACAUGCAAGCCGAACGGCAAGAUUUUCAGCAAUGGAAAUCCUAGAGUGGCGUAAGGGUGCGUAACACGUAUGCAAUCUGCCCUCAACAGGAGGAUAGCUCCCCGAAGGGGAAGUUAAGACUCCAUAAGAUCUUAGAGUGGCAUCACUUAGAGAUUAAACUACCAGGGUUGAGAUGAGCAUGCGCAUGAUUAGUUAGUUGGCGGGGUAACGGCCCACCAAGACGAUGAUCAUUAGGGGAACGUGAGAGGUUGA